GUGUAUUGCAUAAUUUUUGUAGAGAUUGGAUUUCAUGAAAAGACACCAAAUGACUCCUCCCAUCAUAUUAUGAUGUUCCCCAAGUUUUGGACUCAACCCGAUAUCGAUUGAUCCAUGAAAUUAGAGAAUUCCGGUUCGUACGAAGUUCGUUACGAAAUAGUGUGGUUCGUGUAUUGCAUAGUUGUAGAGAUUGGAUUUCCCUGAAAACCCAUAAAAUGACACCUCCCACCGUAUUAUGAUGUUCCCCAAGUGUUGGACUCAAUCCGAUAUCGAUUGGUGUAUCGCAUAGUUUUAGCUAUUGGAUUUCAGUCAAACGACACCAAAUGACUCCUUCCAUCAUAUUAUGUUGUUCCCCAGGUUUUGGACUCAAUCCGAUAUCGAUUGGUCCAUGAAAUUGGACAAUUCAAGUUCGUACGAAGUUCGUUAUGAAAUGGAGUGGUUUGUGUAUUUCAUAGUUGUAGAGAUUGGAUUUCACUCAAAACCCAUCAAAUGACUCCUCCCAACGUAUUAUGAUGUUCCCCAAGUUUUGGACUCAAUCAGAUAUCGAUUGGUCCAUGAAAUUGGACAAUUCAGGUUCGUACGAAGUUCGUUCUGAAAUGGAGUGGUUAGUGUAUUGCGUAGUUUUAGCCAUUGGAUUACACUCAAAAGUCAUCAAAUGACUCCUCCCAUCAGAUUAUGUUCUUCCCCAAGUUUUGGACUCAAUCCGAUAUCGAUUGGUCCAUGAAAUUGGACAAGUCAGGUUCGUACGAAGCUCGUUAUGAAAUGGAGUGGUUGGUGUAUUGCAUAGUUUUAGCCAUUGGAUUUCACUCAAAAGGCACCAAAUGACUGCUCCCAUCAUAUUACGAUGUUCCCCAAGUUUCGGACUCAAUCCGAUAUCGAUUGGUCCAUGAAAUUGGACAAUUCAGGUUCUUACGAAGUUCGUUCUGAAAUGUUGUGUUCAGUGUAUUGCAUAGUUUUAGCCAUUGAAAUGCACUCAAAAAUCACCAAAUGACUCCUCCCAUCAUAUUAUGAUGUUCCCUAAGUUUUGGACUCAAUCAGAUAUCGAUUGGUCCAUGAAAUUGGACAAUUCAGGAUCGUACGAAGUUCGUUAUGAAAUGGGGUGGUUACUGUAUUGCAUAGUUUAAGCCAUUGGAUUUCACUCAAAUGUCACCAAAUGACUCCAACCAUCAUAUUAUGAUGUUCCCCAAGUUUUGGCCUUAAUCCGAUAUCGAUUGGUCCAUGAAAUUCGACAAUUCAGGUUCGUACGAAGUUCAUUAUGGAAUGGAGUGGUUGGCGUAUUGCAUAGUUGUAGAGAUUGGAUUUCACUCAAAAUCCACCAAAAGACUCCGUCCACCGUAUUACGAUGUUCCCCAAGUUUUGGGCUCAAUCCGAUAUCGAUUGGUCCAUGAAAUUAGACAAUUCAGGUUCAUAUGAAGUUCGUUCUAAAAUGGAUUGGUUAGUGUAUUGCGUUGUGUUAGCAAUUAGAUUUCACUCAAAAGUCACCAAAUGACUCCUCCCACCAUAUUAUGAUGUUUCAAAAGUUUUGGACUCAAUCCGAUAUCGAUUGGUCCAUGAAAUUGGACAAUUCAGGUUCGUACGAAGUUCGUUGUGAAAUGGAGUGGUUAGUGUAUUGCAUAGUUGUAGAGAUUGGAUUUCACUCAAAAGCCACCAAAUGACUCCAUCCACCGUAUUACGAUGUUCCCCAAGUUUUGGGCUCAAUCCGAUAUCGAUUGGUCCAUGAAAUUAGACAAUUCAGUUCAUACGAAGUUCGUUCUAAAAUGGAUUGGUUAAUGUGUUGCAUUGUGUUAGCAAUUAGAUUUCACUCAAAAGUCACCAAAUGACUCCUCCCACCAUAUUAUGAUGUUUCAAAAGUUUUGGACUCAAUCCGAUAUCGAUUGGUCCAUGAAAUUGGACAAUUCAGGUUCGUACGAAGUUCGUUGUGAAAAUGGAGUGGUUAGUGUAUUGCAUAGUUGUAGAGAUUGGAUUUCACUCAAAAGCCACCAAAUGACUCCAUCCACCGUAUUACGAUGUUCCCCAAGUUUUGGGCUCAAUCCGAUAUCGAUUGGUCCAUGAAAUUAGACAAUUCAGGUUCAUACGAAGUUCGUUCUAAAAUGGAUUGGUUAAUGUAUUGCAUUGUGUUAGCAAUUAGAUUUCACUCAAAAGUCACCAAAUGACUCCUCCCACCAUAUUAUGAUGUUUCAAAAGUUUUGGACUCAAUCCGAUAUCGAUUGGUCCAUGAAAUUGGACAAUUCAGGUUCGUACGAAGUUCGUUAAGAAAUGGAGUGGUUAGGGUAUUGCAUAGUUGUAGGGAUUGGAUUUCACUCAAAGGCCACGAAAUGACUCCUCCCACCGUAAUAUGAUGUUCCCCAAGUAUUGGCCUGAAUCCGAUAUCGAUUGGUCCAUGAAAUUGGACAAUUCAGGUUCGUACGAAGUUCGUUCUGAAAUGGAGUGCUUAGUGUAUUGCAUAGUGUUAACCAUUGGACUUCACUCAAAGGCCACGAAAUGACUCCUCCCACCGUAUUAUGAUGUUUCCCAACUAUUGGCCUGAAUCCGAUAUCGAUUGGUCCAUGAAAUUGGACAAUUCAGGUUCGUAUGAAGUUCGUUCUGAAAUGGAGUGCUUGGUGUAUUGCACAGUUGUAGAGAUUCGAUUUCAUUCAAAACCCGUCAAAUGACUCCUCCCACCGUAUUAUGAUGUUCCCCAAGUUUUGGACUCAAUCCGAUUUCGAUCGGUCCAUGAAAUUGGACAAUUCAGGUUCGUACGAAUUCGUUCCGAAAUGAAGUGGGUAGUGUAUUGCAUAGUUUUAGCCAUUGGAUUUCAGUCAAAAGACACCAAAUGACUCCUCCCAUCAUAUGAUGAUGUUCCCCAAGUUUUGGACUCAAUCCGAUAUCGAUUGGUCCAUUAAAUUGGACAAUUCAGGUUCAUACGAAGUUCGUUCUGAAAUGGAUUGGUUAGUGUAUUGCAUAGUUUUAGCCAUUGGAUUUCAGUCAAAAGACACGAAAUGACUCCUCCCACCGUAUUAUGAUGUUCCCCAAGUUUUGGACUCAAUCCGAUGUCGAUUGGUCCAUGAAAUUGGACAAUUCAAGUUCUUACGAAGUUCGUUCUGAAAGGGAGUGGUUGGUGUAUUGCAUAGUUUUAGCCAUUGGACUUCACUCAAAAGGCACCAAAUGACUCCUCCCAUCAUAUUAUGAUGUUCCCCAAGUUUCGGACUCAAUCCAUUGGUCCAUGAAAUUGGACAAUUCAAGUUUGUACGAAGUUCGUUCUGAAAUGGAGUGGUUAGUGUAUUGCAUAGUUUUAGCCAUUGGAUUUCACUCAAAAGGCACCAAAUGACUCAUCCCAUCAUAUUAUGAUGUUCCCCAAGUUUCGGACUCAAUCCGAUAUCGAUUGGUCCAUGAAAUUGGACAAUUCAGGUUUGUACGAAGUUCGUUCUGAAAUGGAGUGGUUAGUGUAUUGCAUAGUUUUAGCCAUUGGAUUUCACUCAAAAGUCACCAAAUGACUCCUCCCUUGAUAUGAUGAUGUUCCCCAAGUUUUGGACUCAAUCCGAUAUCGAUUGGUCCACGAAAUUGGACAAUUCAGGUUUGAACGAAGUUCGUUCUGAAAUGGAGUGGUUCGUGUAUUGCAUAGUUUUAGCCAUUGGAUUUCAGUCAAAAGACACCAAAUGACUCCUCCCUCCGUAUUAUGAUGUUCCCCAAGUUUUGGACUCAAUCCGAUAUCGAUUGGUCCAUGAAAUUGGACAAUUCAAGUUCUUACGAAGUUCGUUCUGAAAGGGAGUGGUUGGUGUAUUGCACAGAUUUUGCCAUUGGAUUUCAUGAAAAGACACCGAAUCACUCUUCCCAUCAUAUUAUGAUGUUCCCCAAGUUUUGGACUCAACCCGAUAUUGAUUGAUCCAUGAAAUUAGAGAAUUACGGUUCGUACGAAGUUCGUUACGAAAUAGUGUGCUGGUGUAUUGCAUAGUUGUAGAGAUUGGAUUUCACUGAAAACCCAUAAAAUGACACCUCCCACCGUAUUAUGAUGUUCCCCAUGUUUUGGACUCAAUCCGAUAUCGAUUGGUCCAUGAAAUUGGACAAUUCAGGUUCGUAUGAAGUUCGUUAUGAAAUAGAGUGGUCGUUGUAUUGGAUAGUUGUAGAGAUUGGAUUUCACUCAAAACCCACCAAAUGACUCCUCCCACCGUAUUAUGAUGUUCCCCAAGUUUUGGACUCAAUCUGAUAUCGAUUGGUCCAUGAAAUUGGACAAUUCAGGUUCGUGCGAAGUUCCUUCUGAACUGGAGUCGUUGGUGUAUUGCAUAGUUAUAGAGAAUGGAUUUCACUCAAAACCCUCCAAAUGACUCCUCCCACCGUGUUAUGAUGUUCCCCAAGUUUUGGACUCAAUCCGAUAUCGAUUGGUCCAUGAAAUUGGACAAUUCAGGCUCGUACGAAGUUCGUUAUAAAAUGGAGUGGUUGGGGUAUUGCAUAGUUGUAGAGAUUGGAUUUCACUCAAAACCCACCAAAUGACUCCUCCCACCGUACUAUGAUGUUCCCCAUAUUUUGGACUCAAUCCGAUAUAGAUUGGUCCAAGAAAUUGGACAACUCAAGUUCGUACGAAGUUCGUUAGAAAAUGGAGCGGUUGGUGUAUUGCAUAGUUGUAGAGAUUGGAUUUCACUCAAAAGCCACCAAAUGACUCCUCCCACCGUAUUAUCAUGUUCCCCAAGUCCUGGACUCAAUACGAUAUCGAUUGGUCCAUGAAAUUGAACAAUUCAGGUUCGUACGAAGUUCGUUCUGAAAUGGAGUGGUUAGUGUAUUGCAUAGUUGUAGAGAUUGGAUUUCACUCAAAAGCCACCAAAUGACUCCUCCCACCGUACUAUGAUGUUCCCCAUGUUUUGGACUCAAUCCGAUAUAGAUUGGUCCAAGAAAUUAGACAACUCAGGUUCGUAUGAAGUUCGUUAGAAAAUGGAGCGGUUGGUGUAUUGAAUAGUUGUAGAGAUUGGAUUUCACUCAAAACCCACCAAAUGACUCCUCCCACCGUACUAUGAUGUUCCCCAUGUUUUGGACUCAAUCCGAUAUAGAUUGGUCCAAGAAAUUGGACAACUCAGGUUCGUAUGAAGUUCGUUAGAAAAUGGAGCUGUUGGUGUAUUGCAUAGUUGUAGGGAUUGGAUUUCACUCAAAAGCCACCAAAUGACUCCUCCCACCGUAUUAUGAUGUUCCCCAAGUUUUGGACUGAAUCCGAUAUCGAUUGGUCCAUGAAAUUGGACAAUUCAAGUUUGUACGAAGUUCGUUCUAAAAUGGAGUGGUUGGUGUACUGCAUAGUUUUAGCCAUUGGGUUUCACUCAAAAGGCACCAAAUGACUCCUCCCAUCAUAUUAUGAUGUUCCCCAAGUUUCGGACUCAAUCCGAUAUCGAUUGGUCCACGAAAUUGGACAAUUCAGGUUCGUACGAAGUUCGUUCUGAAAUGGAGUGGUUAGUGUAUUGCAUAGUUUUAGCCAUUGUAUUUCACUCAAAAGGCACCAAAUGACUCCUCCCAUCAUAUUAUGUUGCUCCUCAAGUUUCGGACUCAAUCCAAUAUCGAUUGGUCCACAAAAUUGGACAAUUCAGGCAGGUACGAAGUUCGUUAUGAAAUGGAGUGGUUGGUGUAUUGCAUAGUUUUAGCCAUUGGAUUUCACCCAAAAGGCACCAAAUGACUCCUCCCAUCAUAUUAUGAUGUUCCCCAAGUUUCGGACUCAAUCCGAUAUCGAUUGGUCCAUGAAAUUGGACAAUUCAGGCUUGUACGAAGUUCGUUCUGAAAUGGAUUGGUUAGUGUAUUGCAUAGUUUUAGCCAUUGGAUUUCACUCAAAAGUCACCAAAUGACUCCUCCCAUCAUAUUAUGAUGUUCCCCAAGUUUUGGACUCAAUUCGAUAUCGAUUGGUCCAUGAAAUUGGACAAUUCAGGUUCGUACGAAGUUCGUUACGAAAUGGAGUGGUUGGUGUAUUGCAUAGUUGUAGAGAUUGGAUUUCACUCAAAUCCCACCAAAAGACUCCUCCCACCGUAUUAUGAUGAUCCCCAAGUUUUGGAAUCAAUCCGACAUCGAUUGGUCCAUGAAAUUGGACAAUUCAGGUUCGUAUGAAGUUCGUUAUGACAUGGAGUGGUUAGUGUAUUGCAUAUUUUUAGCCAUUGGAUUUCACUCAAAAGUCACCAAAUGACUCCUCCCAUCGUAUUAUGAUGUUCUCCAAGUUUUGGCCACAAUCCGAUAUCAAUUGGUCCAUGAAAUUGGACAAUUGAAGUUCGUACGAAGAUCGUUAUGAAAUGGAGUGGUGGGUGUAUUGCAUAGUUGUAGGGAUUGGAUUUCACUCAAAGGCCACGAAAUGACUCCUCCCAUCAUAUUAUGAUGUUCCCCAAGUAUUGGCCUGAAUCCGAUAUCGAUUGGUCCAUAAAAUUGGACAAUUUGGGUUCGUACGAAGUUCGUUCUGAAAUGGAGUGGUUAGUGUAUUGCAUAGUUUUAGUGAUUGGAUUUUGCUCAAAAGUCACCAAACGACUCCUCCCAUCGUAUUAUGAUGUUCGCCAAGUUUCGGACUCAAUCCAAUAUCGUUUAGUCCUUGAAAUUUGACAAUUCAGGUUCGUACGAAGUUCGUUAUGAAAUGGAGUGGUUGGUGUAUUGCAUAGUUUUAGCCAUUGGAUUUCACUCAACAGGCACAAAAUGACUCCUCCCAUCAUAUUAUGAUGUUCCUCAAGUUUCGGACUCAACCCGAUAUCGAUUGAUCCAUGAAAUUAAAGAAUUCCGGUUCGUACGAAAUUCGUUACGAAAUAGUGUGGUUGGUGUAUUGCAUAGUUGUAGAGAUUGAAUUUCACUGAAAACCCAUAAAAUGACACCUCCCACCGUAUUAUGAUGUUCC
rnacentral:lncRNA from 1 species